CUCUUAUCCUGAGUGGUGGAGGGACAUGGACCCAAUGAAACCCAGCAACCUCUUCUUAAUGAAGAAAGGUGCCAAACCGUUUGCGGACAAAUAUUGUCUGAACGAUAAGAG
rnacentral:ncRNA from 2 species